rnacentral:rRNA from 1 species
CGCCUCCUGCAAACAACGACGUAUAGGAGGUCUUGCCUGCCCAGUGACAAUGUUAAACGGCCGCGGUAUUUUGACCGUGCGAAGGUAGCGCAAUCACUUGUCUUUUAAAUGAAGACCUGUAUGAAUGGUGAAACGAGGGCUUAACUGUCUCCCUUUUCUAGUCAAUGAAAUUGAUCUGCCCGUGCAGAAGCGGACAUAAAAAUACAAGACGAGAAGACCCUUUGGAGCUUAAGAUAUAAAGAUCAUCUAUGUCAAUGGGCCCCAACACAGCAACAAACUAAAUAGCAACUGAUCUUAAUCUUCGGUUGGGGCGACCACGGGAGAAAAUAAAGCUCCCACGCGGACUGGGGUAAACCCUAAAACCAAGAAAAACAUUUCUAAGAAACAGAACUUCUGACCACUAAGAUCCGGCUACACGCCGACCAACGGACCAAGCUACCCUAGGGAUAACAGCGCAAUCCCCUUUCAGAGUCCAUAUCGACAAGGGGGUUUACGACCUCGAUGUUGGAUCAGGACAUCCUAAUGGUGCAGCCGCUAUUAAGGGUUCGUUUGUUCAACGAUUAAAGUCCU